AGGACUCUGGUCGGAGGUAAUUAUGUCACUGCGCUUUCUCGCCGUGACAGCCGAAUAAACACAAUCUCCAAUAAACAUCUCUAAUGAGGGAGGAGGCCCGAGGAUGGCUGGCUUUGAUUUAUGGCUAGAGGAGAAGGUCCACUUCCCACAGCGAAGUGGGCAACCUGCUCGCUCCUCAGUCCAGAGAAAGGAACUCGAGGAGGAGAGGACCCAGAUUCAGGACUUCAUCACAUGUUCACAGCAAGCUACAAGUAGAAUGGGAAAUGUAUCAAUCCAAAUGCAACGAAAGGAAAAGAUAAUAUACUGUGGUGAGCAACCGGCAGUAUCCACAACAAUGCAUAAUGCAGACAAGAGACUGUUAUAAUAAUCCAGGUCUCAUCCAGGUAAUGCCACAAGAAUUGUCCUAUUCAUAUCUAUUCAGUACACUACUCUAGCGAUGGAGCCCAGAAGAUGCCUUACAUUCAUUGACCAAAAAACAAAAUGUCCAAAAAACAUGGCUUUCCAAUGGGCACAGAGUGAUAGGAAGUUUGGCAUUUGGGAGAGCUACGUUUGCCCAGGGCCACCAAUGAGGUCCAUGGUCCUGGAACAUCUUUUAUACUCAGAUCAGCCAAUAACAAACACAGUCAUGUCCACCAAUUUCAUCAAUGUGUCCCUCCCCUCCCCCAACUUCUCCUGCUCUGGCCUGGUUUGUUUACCUUUCUGAUUCUUUUGGACAAGGACAAGAUCAAACUCUGGGUACCUUCAGUGCCUAGUCUACUGGUUUAAUCAAGAGGAGUGAGUAUUCUGGCAACUGGAAUCUCAAUAUUCUGCUCAAGAACCUCCAUUUUUACCCCUGGAAAACACAAGUAUCUAAAAAACAUCAUCUUGAGAAGUAUUUAUUUAAGGAUUUGCCUUGAAUCUUUCUCUAAUAAAGCUAAUUAUGAAAUGAUACUCCCAGCAACAGCUAUUGCUACUUAGCCCUGUGGAGGUAAUAG